rnacentral:rRNA from 1 species
GAAUUGACGGGGACCCGCACAAGCGGUGGAGCAUGUGGUUUAAUUCGAAGCAACGCGAAGAACCUUACCAAAUCUUGACAUCCUCUGACCCCUCUAGAGAUAGAGUUUUCCCCUUCGGGGGACAGAGUGACAGGUGGUGCAUGGUUGUCGUCAGCUCGUGUCGUGAGAUGUUGGGUUAAGUCCCGCAACGAGCGCAACCCUUAAGCUUAGUUGCCAUCAUUAAGUUGGGCACUCUAAGUUGACUGCCGGUGACAAACCGGAGGAAGGUGGGGAUGACGUCAAAUCAUCAUGCCCCUUAUGAUUUGGGCUACACACGUGCUACAAUGGACAAUACAAAGGGCAGCGAAACCGCGAGGUCAAGCAAAUCCCAUAAAGUUGUUCUCAGUUCGGAUUGUAGUCUGCAACUCGACUAUAUGAAGCUGGAAUCGCUAGUAAUCGUAGAUCAGCAUGCUACGGUGAAUACGUUCCCGGGUCUUGUACACACCGCCCGUCACACCACGAGAGUUUGUAACACCCGAAGCCGGUGGAG